rnacentral:rRNA from 1 species
UCCCUUGAGAGCGGCGGACGGGUGAGUAACACCUGGGAAUCUGCCUGGUAGUGGGGGAUAACGUUCCGAAAGGAACGCUAAUACCGCAUACGUCCUACGGGAGAAAGCAGGGGAUCUUCGGACCUUGCGCUAUCAGAUGAGCCCAGGUCGGAUUAGCUAGUAGGUGAGGUAAUGGCUCACCUAGGCGACGAUCCGUAACUGGUCUGAGAGGAUGAUCAGUCACACUGGAACUGAGACACGGUCCAGACUCCUACGGGAGGCAGCAGUGGGGAAUAUUGGACAAUGGGCGCAAGCCUGAUCCAGCCAUGCCGCGUGUGUGAAGAAGGUCUUCGGAUUGUAAAGCACUUUAAGUUGGGAGGAAGGGAAGUAAGUUAAUACCUUGCUUCUUUGACGUUACCGACAGAAUAAGCACCGGCUAACUCUGUGCCAGCAGCCGCGGUAAUACAGAGGGUGCAAGCGUUAAUCGGAAUUACUGGGCGUAAAGCGCGCGUAGGUGGCUAAGUAAGAUGGGUGUGAAAUCCCCGGGCUCAACCUGGGAACUGCAUCCAUAACUGCUUGGCUAGAGUACGGUAGAGGGUAGUGGAAUUUCCUGUGUAGCGG